UACGGAGGGUGCAAAGCGUUUAAUCGGAAUUACUGGGCGAAAGCGUGCGUAGGUGGUUCGUUAAGUCCGUUGUGAAAGCCCCGAGCUCACUUGGGAAUUGCAGUGGAUACGGCGAGCUGGAGUGCGGUAGAGGAAGGUGGGAAUUCCCCGGUGUAGCGGUGAAAUGCGUAGACGAUCGGGAGGAACACCCAGGGGGAAACCAAGCCGACUGGG
rnacentral:rRNA from 1 species